GAUUUAGAUGGGUUUUGUUUUCUAUGGCCUUUACUUCUUAUCUCGUAAACUUCAGGCAAAUCAAUUUCGUUGUUAUUGGGCGAACCUCUGUUUUAUUUCUUUGUGGCUGAAGGUUCAGUAAACGAUGACACAAUU